rnacentral:lncRNA from 1 species
AUAAUAAUUCAAUUAAAUGAUACAUUUAUCAUAAAUAGAAUACAUCAAUCAUAUUAAACGUGUUUAUGUAUGAAAUCGAUUGGACCUAUGACAUAACAUUUACACAACCAUUAAGCACAUUUUGGACAUGUUUAUUGGAAUUAAAAUUGAAAAUAUUACACUUAUAUUAGUUGGAAUAUGUCCAAUAAAUUUAUCAUUAGAAAUAUCAAAGUCUCCAUACUGAGAUUGGUACUUGCUAACAACUCGAGAGUUCCUCUAAAAGCAUUACCUCUAAAAUAGGCUCCUUCGAGUCUAGUGUUGUUCUUUAACAACCAAGUUGGCUAAUUUCUCCCCAAGUUGUUGUGUGAGAGAUCAAGAAUUCUCAAAAAGUGAGGUAGAGUUAGAUGGCAAUUUGACCAACUGAAAACCUCUUGUUGGAAGUUAGGGACCCAUUUUCAUAACACAAUAGUUGCUAUUACUUCAUUUUCUUUGGCAAAUAUGAAACAAAGACUCGACGGAUUAAAUAAAGCCACAAAGGAAAUGGGCACGUGAAUGUUACUUUAAAUGGAAAUAUUUAAGUGGGGUGAGUUUCGAAAGCAAAGACACAUCAAUAUCUCCACAUAACUUAUUCCUUGAGAGCUCGAUCAAUCGGAAGAGAUGUCAUGUUCUCUAGACAUGAUGGAAGCAAUACUCAUUUCUAAUCCAAUCCAUCUCCUUGAGUAUAUUAAGUUGACAACACCCUCUUAAAUUAAUCACUAACAAACCAAACAAAGAUAAGGAAAAUUGGGGUUGAUUAUAAAAUUUUUAUUAAUGAAGUUAGCUUUCCGUUCAAUAAAAAUUGACAAUCGGAUUCAUUUUUAUUUGUCCUUGCAUAUUAUUUUAGAUUUACUGGUAACAUGAGUAACUAUUUUCUUACGAUUUUCUUAACAAAUCUAGACACAACAACCUAUUUUUAGAGAGAUAUAUAUACACAUUCUUCAAGUAUUAAGAAACAUAUUUAUGAAAAGCACGACCACUUAGCAUUUAUCACACUUUUUUUAAAAAUUUCUUUGUAAAAC